GAUCCUGGCUCAGGAUGAACGCUAGCGACAGGCUUAACACAUGCAAGUCGAGGGGCAGCGAGGAAGUGGCAACACUUCUGUCGGCGACCGGCGCACGGGUGAGUAACGCGUAUGCAACCUGCCCUUCACAGGGGGAUAACCGGGAGAAAUUCCGACUAAUACCGCAUACGUCCUCCGGGGGCGAUCCUUGGGGGAGUGAAAGAAUUAUCGGUGAAGGAUGGGCAUGCGUGAUAUUGGGUAGUUGGCGGGGGCG
rnacentral:rRNA from 1 species